AGUGGAACAUAUGCAUGAACUUCAAUAUACAAAUUUGUGUCUGAUUUCCCGUAAGUUAAUAGGUCUUGAUCUCCAGAUCCUGUCAAAAGCUUUAAAUAUCCAAGUUUUCAGCUACUGCUGCUAUUUAAGAACUUCAUUAAAACUUUCUCAGCCUUCAUAGAACUUGAACUCUGGAAGCAGUUGCAAGAUAACAAUCAUAGGAAAGGGUAUAACUAAGUUCAUUAAGUAUUUCCACAGCUGAGCCAAAUUCAGUUCUCACUGCCAGGGUAUUUGAAUUAGGAUACUUAACCUCAUGAAGCUGAUAACCUAGUGAAGAAUUUGAAUACAGAGAAAGGAUGAAGGAAAAAGAGGAUGUUUGAAAUAGAACAAUGAACCCUACAUUACUAAAACCACUUGAAGCAAGUGACAUUAUCACUUACUGACUUUUACCAUACUGCCAGAGUUGGUUUCUUUAGUCAGUAAACUAUAAAGAUGCUCUAAACCAGUGGUCUCCAAAGUGGGUUGUGCACACCCCUGGGAGCAGGUAAGACAAUCCACCAGGAUGCAGCAGAAAGAUAUUUUUGAACCAUUACUAAAUGAAAGUAAUAUCAAUAAGAAGAGCACAGAGGUUGGUUUCUGCCAAUCAACCAAAAAAAAAAAAAGCACUGAGGUCCAAUUCCCGAUACAGGCUUGAAGAACAGCCCUGAGAGCUCACCUCUGCCCUUGCGGCCCAGCCCACGCUGCAGCGCGCCCCCCCCCAUCCUACCGCCGGGUCGCGCCGCCCCUCCGUGCCUUGCAACAGCACCGGCUGAUGGCCAACAUCUGCCCGAGAGGAGUUUUUGCUCCGUUAGAGCAGCCCUGGCUCGACAGCAGCCAUUUCCCCCCUUCUACAGCUUUCCCGCAGCCCCCCUGCUGCUCCCGGCCACGCUGCUUCCCUGCCCGGGAGCGGGGUGAGGACCCGGGGGGCCUGGUGGAAACAGGGAGAGCCCGGGAGGUUCAUGCUGAGCCCCACACUUUGUAUUUCUGUACGCCUCAAUGAAUUAAUUUUAAAAAGCCUACAAGUGUUGUUUUUGAGGAUCUGAAUGCAAAUCCCUCCUACGUGCCCAUGAAUGGAAGAAAAAAAAAAAAAAAAAAAAAAAAAACCACCAAUUCUGUAGACAAUGCAUUUUAAACAAAAAUGGAAUAUAUAUGCACAUAAUUUAGCUGGUUGCAUUAAAAUAUACACAUGAGAAAACACUUUACAUAUAAAAGAACCUGGUGUAUUUCCAUUCACAGGAAAAAAAAAUUGCAUGACUUUUCAAUAAUGGAUCGGUAACUACUUUUCCAAUGUAAUUUUUAUUUAUUUUUUUAUUUUAAUGCUGGUAAAAUAACGGCACCUGGAAUAGUUGUGUGUACAUUUCCCAUUCCUCUUGCCCUGCUGCCUCAUCCUUAGGCAUGCCAGGAAGACAACUGUGUUGUGUGGAAAAUACAGGCCCACACUAUCAUUUGCAGGAUCACUCAAUCUUAGAUAAAUUAAUAAAAAUGUCAACACGUGGCUGUGGGCUUUAUGGCAGGUGAAGUGAUGAUGAAGAUGAGUGAAGGCAGGACAGGGGUGUGGAGGAGCUGGUGCAGCCAUGGUGGCGGGCUGGCAGCCCCCAUGUGGGCCCGCCAUGUAGGGCAGCUGGGAGCUGCUCCUGCAGAGCAGGCCAGGCCACUGGGCCCCUCAAUUUCCUGCAAACCCCAUCUCACCCAGCAAGGAGGCAGGGACUGCUUUGUUGGCAGAAGAUGUGAGGGGCCCAUGUCUGAGCCCCAGCUGGUCCUUGACCCCUUACCACCAGGCUUGUCCAGCCACAGUGGGGACCACCUGGCCUCAGGCCCUGGGCCUCGUGGGGCUCUCCCUUUUUAUACUUUAAUUAUAUCACAAAUAUCGUGUUUCUGUGUUUCUCUUCUGGAGCCAUGAGGCAGUACUGGCCAGCAGUGGGGAGGAUAACAGCUUCCACGGCAGCCUGUUCCUCCCACCGUGUGUAGCACUGAUUCACCUUUUGGUAUUAAAAAGAAAAAUAUAAGCUGAUAAGCUAUCCCCAGGCAGCGCUUUCGUGCUACCCAAGACAGCCUCCGUGGCUGCAGAGAUCCUUCAAUAAGCUGUCAAGAGCUGGCGUCCCUGUGUAAAGAGCUGUUCGUCCCUAUAUCUCAUUUUAGAUUGAUGUACGUGCCACUUUCAUAUCCUUCAGCUCAGCGUAACAUUUGCCCUUUCAUGUUCUCAGUUUAAGCCACUGGGAAUUCAAAGCUAUUUCAAAGCAUAAUUAUAGCAAUCUGCAUAUAAAAGGCUAUAUGUCCUACAGAGGAUUCCGCAGAAAAAAAGCAAACUCCUCGAAAGAAGAAAAUUAGAAGUAAAUCCCACAACUUAGAUUCAGUAGUUAAUACAUUUUUCAUCUGAUGUGAACAGUCUGUGGAUUUGUAAAGCCAAUGGAAAAUUGUCUAAGCCACUGUACUGAAUCAGUCUUCACCUAUGAAAUAAUGUAGCUGUUACAAGGGGCCCACAGCUUCAAAGAUUGCUCUCUCCUCGAGUGUUAUCCUGCGCCUUAUUGACCUAAAGGCAUGCUGCAAGGCUUGCUUGUUUAAGUGAGCUUUGAAGGGCUGGAGAGUUUCCCCACCUUCCUCCCUGUGGGCUGCUGCUAGCUCUUGAGGAAGGAGCAGUCUGUAGAAACAUCACUUGCUAAACACAUCAUGGAAGAGAUAUAGGAGGUCUUUUAAAUAGGUAAAUCUAUCAAGAGUUCUUCCCCCCCCCAAAAAAAAAAUAAAAAAUCUUCACUAUAAAUUGAUAAUGAACCACAUAAAAUUGUUUUGCUUUAACUGCAUCAUACUGCUCUAUUAUAUACUAAGAUUUGAGAUACGGGAAUUGUAGCCACAAAUGUUAUAUAUGCUGGUUCAUAGAGAGCAGUUGGUUCAUAAUAUUCCUUGCACUGAACAUAGAGUAUUAACCUCAUCAAAUUUCUUAAAAGGCCUACAAAUCAUUAGAGUGUUUUUAAUUUACCUUACUAGCUUUACAUACUUGGCUUAAAAUCUCUACGACAAAUAUAUUUUUUCUUUAAUUUAAAGUUGAGCUUCAUAUAGUUACAGGACUUGAGGAAAAUUACAAUAAAUUAAAAUUGGAAUAUUUGCAACUUAAUCAUGUACUUGUAACACUGCUUUUCUGGCAUUAUGUUUCAGAGGUGGUUUCCCUACCAUACAGAUUCAUACUCUCUUUCUAGUUUUCCUGGGAUUGUGUUUUCUGUGGUUAUGUUUCAGAGGUGGUUUCUCUGCCAUAUACCUUUUCCUUCUCUCUCUUCCUAAUUUUCCAGUCGUCUUCCCCUCCAGCUUGUCAUCAUACUCUCUCUUUUGUGCCACUCACUUUUUUGGUUCUCCAAACUCAGUCUCCUUCCUCAGUUUCUUCUUCAUAAAUUUAGACUGUAUGUAGAGGUUGUUUCCAAAGUAGCAUAAAGGCCCUGGGAAAGUCACUCCAGAUGAGCUUGCUUUAUUCUCCCACAGCAACUUCUGCAAAAGCAGCCACCCCUUUCACCUUUCUUCUCAUGCUAUGUAGGUAAUGUAGGUAACAUACUGCAGACAAAGACACUCUUUGUUUUUCUAAGACCUUAAAACACUGGUAUUUAUUGGUUGUCUGAGAAAACCUUCCCAGAAUGUUAAAACCAAUAUCAUUAUCAUUAAUUAUAUCAAUAAUCAGAGAAUUUGCAUCCAGGAUGUUUAGAAAUGUGGAGAUAUAUGAUUUUUUUAUAAAGCGAUAUUGUGAAGGGUCUGGACCUCAAGAUUUCAUUUUAAUAAUAGUGUGUUACAAUGGUCAGGACUCUCAAAGAUACUGGAACAGCUCAGGGAAAUCAACAUUAAAACAGGAAACAUACAAGUACCGUUUCUGUAUGUGUAGGCUUUAUUAAUAAAAUGCACGUCUGUUACUGUUUUUCAACUUUGUUUAUUCUCUUGUUUGAGAAAGAUUGAUUUAUAAAUUGCAAGAAAGCUCUUUCAAUAUGGAUUUAGCUCUGAUUAAAUUUUCUAGGCCAAACUAUGGUAAAAUUAAUAACAAUGAUUGUUUACUUUUAAAUAAACUUCAGAACAUCCCCUUGAUUAUAA